GCUCUUAUGGUGUAAUGGUUAGCACUCUGGACUUUGAAUCCAGCGAUCGGGUCAAACCCGGUAGGAGCU
rnacentral:tRNA from 1 species